rnacentral:rRNA from 1 species
UACGUAUAAGACUCGCGUUAUUCAUUUUAAAUAGGUUUAAAGGGUACUUAGGUGGUAAAUAUAGCCUAUAUAAUAGGAAGCUGAUUUACUAGAGUUUUAUGUAAGAAGAUCGUACUAUGAGUGGAGAAAUAAAAUUUUUUAUACCUACGGGACUGGUAAAGGCGAAGGCAAUCUUUUAUGUAACAACUGACACCGUAGGACGAAGGCAUAGGUCGCGAACAGG